AGGGGAGCUGCCCGCAGUCUUUUCCAAAGAACUUCACGAAUGAUGGUGACAAGCGUCUGGCACAGCAAGCAGACGCCAUCACUGUGCUCAUAAAAGGCUCCUGCGAGGACUUAUCAUAACAUACAGUACACAAAGCGCUGCCCGCGCUGCCUCUGGAGCGUGUGCGUGUGAGUCCACAGAUAAAGACGAGUGAGGGGUGCACUGGGACUGAUGCCUGUGUACUCACGCUUUUGCCAUGGAUGCCUCUGUGGACCUACCGGACUUCUCUGUGUACUAUUUCACACAAAGAGUUACCAUGACACAUUAGUCAGCCAAAGAAGCAGCUAUUCAGGAAACAUGAGCCCUCUGGCCCAUAAUGCACCAACAGUGAACACAUGAGGGCCAGAGACCACAGCAGGCGAAGCAUCAAGACUGGAACCAGGCAGGAUGUGAGCGAAAGCCCUGGUGGCAUUUUCAACUGCAAGGAAAGCAACACUACUCUGCUGUCACCAUGAGAGGACAAACUUCAGAGUUUUUCGACAUGAUUAGAGAGGGAGGAGCGACAAGUAAAAUCAGUCACCAAAUAUACUUUUGCAGUGUUUGAAACGUGGAGUUGUACAUUCUUUGUUUGAGUGGAGAGACCGACAGUCUGUUCUCCUGUGACCAAGUGUGAGUGACAAGCUGGCUUAGAGUGAACUCACCUCUUUCCAUACAUCCUAAUAAGCUUUAGCAGCAUUAAAUCAUGUCUGCAGUGUUACAUCGCCAACCGUCAUAUUUUAGUAUUAGUGCAUUCCCGAGCAAUGAAUGUGAAAUAAUUAAGUGAGUUCAUGAGAGUUAUAGCCCUGAUUUAAACAAAAAAACGAAACUGAAGAACAUGUGAUGCAUUGGAAAGCAGGGGAGCCAGGCUAGCAAUUUUAGCAGCUAGUUAACUUGAAGCAGCGUUCUGUCACUCCCACAAAACGGCAAAUUGAUGAUACUGUAGAUCAAACACGACACAAAAACAAAGAUUGCCUUUAAACGUUGCUAAAAGGAGGACUCUGUUUGUCUGGCAUGAGAGAUUCACACUGCAGUUCAUGCUUUUUUACACAGUGAGCAUCAGAUAUACAGAUUUCUACGAUAGAACAUAAUCCCAGUCGUCUGCUAGCUGGUGUCUGAAU